rnacentral:rRNA from 1 species
CCUACGGGUGGCAGCAGUGAGGAAUAUUGGUCAAUGGUCGGGAGACUGAACCAGCCAAGCCGCGUGAGGGAUGAAGGUACAGAGUAUCGUAAACCUCUUUUGUAAGGGAACAAAGGCGGGGACGUGUCUCCGGAUGAGUGUACCUGAAGAAAAAGCAUCGGCUAACUCCGUGCCAGCAGCCGCGGUAAUACGGAGGAUGCGAGCGUUAUCCGGAUUUAUUGGGUUUAAAGGGUGCGCAGGCGGUCUGUUAGGUCAGCGGUAAAAGCCCGGGGCUCAACCCCGGACCGCCGUUGAAACUGGCAGUCUUGAGUUGGAGAGAAGUAUGCGGAAUGCGUGGGGUAGCGGUGAAAUGCAUAGAUAUCGCGCAGAACUCCGAUUGCGAAGGCAGCAUGCCGGCUCCACACUGACGCUGAGGCACGAAAGCGUGGGUAUCGAACAGGAUUAGAUACCCCUGUAGUC